CCUACGGGAUGCAGCAGUCGGGAAUAUUGCGCAAUGGAGGAAACUCUGACGCAGUGACGCCGCGUGCAGGAAGAAGGUUUUCGGAUUGUAAACUGCUUUAGACAGGGAAGAAAAAAGACAGUACCUGUAGAAUAAGCUCCGGCUAACUACGUGCCAGCAGCCGCGGUAAUACGUAGGGAGCAAGCGUUAGACGGAUUUAUUGGGUGUAAAGGGUGCGUAGGCGGAGUUUUAAGUCAGCGGUAACAUGUCCGGGCUCAACCCGGGCCGGCCGUUGAAACUGGGGAUCUUGAGUGGGCGAUAAGUAUGCGGAAGGCGUGGUGUAGCGGUGAAAUGCAUAGAUAUCACGCAGAACUCCGAUUGCGAAGGCAGCAUACCGGCGCCCGACUGACGCUGAGGCACGAAAGCGUGGGGAUCGAACAGGAUUAGAUACCCCAGUAGUC
rnacentral:rRNA from 1 species